AAAGUCGUAACAAGGUAACCGUAGGUGAACCUGCGGUUGGAUCAUUAAAAAAUUUACUUUAAAGGUAUUAGCGUUGUAAAAGACCUAAUAUUCUUUAACAAAUUUGUGAACUCAUUAAAGUCUUUUGGGUCGACGUUUUUUGUUAAAUGUGGGCCCAAAAACCAUUUUAAACUAAUUUCAAUUAACUUUGUCUAUAAAAUUUAAUUUACAAAUUAAAAACAACUUUUAACAACGGAUCUCUUGGCUCUC
rnacentral:misc_RNA from 1 species